UCCUAAAGAGUUCACCACACUCCAGCUCAUUUUGAACUAAAUGACAAAUAAAUAAAUGAAAACAUAUUGAAUCAACCACGGUUCAACCAGAAUGCAGCAUAACCAAGAUCAAAUCAAAUGUUUAAGUGUUAAGGCUCAUGAUUCAACCAGUUGAACGACUGAUUUUGUCCAUUUUUUAAAACAUUGAUUUUUUGAAGUAAAAUUAUAUUUAAGCCAAUUUUAUUAUUUUUGCAUGUAGAUAUUUUUGUUUUGAUUAUUUAUACAUUUCGUUACAUUACUUGAAAUUGAAUUGGGUAUCUUGAAAUGGUAAUGAAACAGGAAGAUUGCCAAGAGUGGAGACCAAUGCGUAGGGUGUUUGGGGUAGUGUUUGAUGCAGAGAACCCUCCAAGAGGUCCUAUAAAGUUGAGGUUACAAGUGAGUGGUAGUGGUGGCCUUUAUUGGGUGGAAUCCAAGAAUGUUAUCUCCAGUGACUGGGAAGCUGGGGCUGUUUAUGACUCACAAAUUCAGUUUGAUUAAAAACAAAUGCACUUAUAUAGAUAGAUUGGAACUAGAUUACUAGUAUUUUAUUGUUUCUUGUUUGUGUCAUUCUAAAAGUUAAUGUUCCUGUGUACUACUAGUGGGUGGGUGGAGUGCACUUUGUACUUGUACUAAAACUGUGGGGGAUUUAUGUACUAAAUAAAUUGUCAUUUCUCCUUUGCUUGUGUUUGGCUUCUGAUGUCAUAAGAAAUCCAAUGAAUAUGCUAAUAUUCUUGUGAUAGUUUGGUUAAAUAAUUCUACAGAUUCAGAAUCAAACUAUAACUUAUUAUACUAACAUUAAUACCUGUCAAUGCCUUUGAAAUAUUUUACGCCUCAAUUUACUACAAUAACUGUCAAUUCUAUCAUCUUCUUAACUAAAGUUUAAACUUCAACUGGAAGAUGUGUCCACUUGAAGUGUCCGACAGUUCCUCAAAUACGAUUACCUACGGAGGAGGAAACCUAUGGGCAACAAUAACAAAAAGUCAAAUUAAUUUACUUUUAGAUUUUUUUAGUUCCUUCAAGGCUGGUUGACCUGGGAUUCUUCGCAAGCGAAACUUAUAAACCAGCUUCCCAUGUGACCCCAAUUCCUGCCAACAUGACUCAACUAUAUAAAGUCCAUCAUAAACAUAUAUCUUGCUUUUCCCAUCCAUUGAUUCCGAACCCCGUAUCACCCUAACAGGAUUCUUUUCCUCGCUGCUGUUCUUCAGAGCAAGGUUGCCCCUUUCAAGCUUCUGAUCUUCUGGGUCUUUAUCACUGCACAUCACAUUUCCACCCUGCCCUGUAUAUAUCAAAACAUCUGUAUUAUCUAAUUCAUCAGAAUAGCCCCCUGACGCAACAAUACUAGUUGCAAGGACUUUAUUUUUCUGCUUCACAUAAUCUAUACCACCCUGAAUCUGGCGAUGAAGGCCAAUUACAUUAAGCUCUAUUCUAUAUUGAAAUUCAUCACCGACUUCAACCCCAGGGACAGAUCCCAAGAUCUUAUCCCCUUCGUUAACAUAGUACCCUUUCUCCUUAAGUAUUUUCGCAGCUUGUAAAUCAAACCUCCUUCUUUCUUUCUCGUUUGACUUUGCUUUUGCUUCCGCUUCCUGCAAAAGCUUUCUAGAAACAACUUGGAACAGGCGCAAUGCAUUCUUCACUUUAUUUCGGGCCAUUGAGUCAUUCUGAUGACCACUGAAAUUACUACGACCAAGAGGAGGAACAUUAACACCAUGUGAUUUUGGGACGCGUUUAAAGUUUUUAUGUUUAGGGUCUAGAGAAUUAUUCUCCCGUCUUACUAAUUCACCCAUGCAAUCAGAAGUAGCAUUUCCAUUAUUCUUUUUCAACUGCACGUGCCCAGAAUGAUUAGGUACAUGUUUUGUCUUGACAGCAGUUUUAGACCUGUCUAGUUGGGCAUAAUAAUCAACUUUCUUUCCCUUCCUUUCAUCUGGGCCACCUAUUAAUGCUGGUUUAAAUUUGGGGGGACUGAGAUCAGAUCUCCAAGGACAUUCUGAUUUAGAAAUAAAACCUAGCACUAUUUUUCUGCCUGAUGUUCCCUCAAGCUGUACAGUGUUUGUGUUUUCCUCUUUAACCACUACCUUUGGAUUUAUGUUAACCUGAUGGUGAUUAUAUUUUUCAGAAAGUUGAGUGUUCUUUUCUCUUGUGUUAACCAGUGCCAAUCUCAUCUCAGAAGAUGGUUCAACUACAUCCAUCUUCUUAACUCUUUGUGUAGCAUUCCCUUCAGAGUCAGCUUGAACGAUGUUAGCAAGCUUUCUCUCGUUAUUAUCCACUUCUUUUUUUUCAGUUUGACCCAUUCUCUUUUUAUUCAAAGAAGAGAGCUCCCUUAAACACUCGUCCGUAGUAAGAAGGGGAGCAUUGGGUCCACAUAAAUGUGGAAAAUCUCUGAUCGCAGAAGAGGGCUCCCUUAAACACUCGUCCGUAGUAAGAAGGGGAGCAUUGCGUCCAAAUAUACGUGGAAAAUCUCUGAUCGCUGCUGCAACUUCUCUACGAGGAGGAUACCUUUUAGUUACAGCCUCUUCCAUACGAACACCAGAACCACCUAUAUCGAUAUUGGAUGACAAGGACUUUGAGUCAUCAUCAUGCAUAGCUACCUCACCAAAUGCAAACGUUGAGACCAAAACAACAUGAACAAGAAGACAUUUCUAUUUUAAGUAACCUAAGUUGGUAACUGACAUAAUCAAGAAGACCAUUACAAAUGAAGUAUCCUUAACAUAUUGUAUCCUAAAUUUUCAAGGAAUGACCACAUAUCGGAUACAAUAAGCAUCUGAUACUUGUAUAUUGUUUGUGUUCCAUUGAGAAAAUGGCAGAAAAUUCAUAAAUAUAAUUCCCAUGAAACUAUAUUCAAUUAUUUUAUAGUACUUUUAUUAUUACACAUGAAUACCUAAUUGGAAUAAUCAAAACAUAUACCUAAUUAGCAAUUUAUGAUGAAAAAAUUGGGAAUAAUAAAUAAAAAAAUUCAACAGUAACGAGUGAGAAAGUGAACCUGAAAGUGAUUUUGAACUUUAAUUGAAGAAUUUGAGGAGAAUCUGAAGCUUCCCUCGAAGAAACGGGUUUGAAUCUGAAACUUAGGGUGAAGACGAAGAUUGAAUAGCUUAGAGAAGUUGUGGGGAAUUAACAAAGUAAUUAUGUAGGUAGUACAAACUCUAACUAAUUUUUACAUUUUUAAUAAUGCUUUUAGAGGGAGCUUGUGGAAGAAUGGAUCUGGGUUGUGUUUGUGGUGCAUGCUAUGCUACCACCAAGUAAUAACUCUACUUGUUCACUACUACUUAAUUUCAUCAACAAUUAAGAAAUUUAUAUCCUACUCUCUUGGUCCCGAAUUAUAUCAAAAAAUACAA
rnacentral:lncRNA from 1 species